rnacentral:lncRNA from 1 species
UCGAAAGAGGUUCACACAAUAAUCUCAAGAGUUGAGAGUAUUUGGAGAGUUAUAGAGAUAUUCGGGUAUAGCUUUGAUAGUUUUAAGUAUAAAGUACACCAAUAAUUAUUUAAUUUUAGUGCUAAUAACAACAUAAUUACUCAACUUUCAAUUUAAUCACUAAACUUUAUUAUGAAAAUGACAAAUCAAUCACUAAUAGAGAUUUUCCGUUAUAGAAGUAACAGACGUUAACUAGCUGCGAUGGAACCCCAAGUAAGAACCCUAGCUGCUCGAAGAAAAAGAAGAAGAGAAGAAAUGAAGAUAUCCACUGUUGAUUUCAAUUUUUUCUUUCAUUUUCUCUGUUGAUUUUCUCAGCAUCUAAACAAUGGAAAGUUUAGCCCUCUACGCCGCGGCUUCCUCUGGUUUCUCUUCAACCACUUCUUUUUUCCUAAUCUCUUCUCUCAUCUCCUCAUUUUUGGCAGCCAGCUUUUUCUAUUCCCUGCAAUCCAUUCCAGCCCUAAACUCUCGGCCAAACAAAAGUUGUACCUCGUGAGGGAGUUUGGUGCGAUGCAGAUAACAGCGGUUCUUGGGUUGCUUGUUAUAACAAACUCUUGUUUUGGGAUGUGCCAAGGUAGUAACACAAAUGCAGGAGGAGAUUUUGAUUUUUGGAACAGGAUUUCGGAGGAGCGCUUAGCAGAAUGGGAAUUAGAGGCAAUGUUGGCGGUGUUGUUAGAACGACAAAGGUCUUCGAGGCGACGCUUCUCGAUUUGCUUGGCUUACUCAGAAGCGUCAGUCAUCUAGUGGAUUAAUAUAUGGAGAUAACUCAAAAGAUUGAAAAUUCAACAAGAUUAAAAUAACAAAAAAAUGAAAGGAAAAAAAAUAUGGUACUUUUAUUGUGUUUUUUUUUUUUUGGUAUUUUGUGCUCUAUUUGGUUACUGAGAAACUGGGAGGGGAAAAUAUAGUGGAAUUAGAAUAGUGUAAAAAGUGAAAGGAGGAAAACCUGAAAGGUUGAGAGAAUGCUAGAAGAACGAGGGCUUUUUUGUUUUUUUUUUUAAUUUGAUUAAAGAUGAUUAAGGAAAGGAACCUAAUAGAUCUAAUGUGGUAAGUUAAUUGACCAUGCCAACUAGUUAAUGAGUCACUCACUUGCUCCGUUAAGCUUGUAAUAAAAAAUAUUAAUAGGUAGUUGAUUUGUCACUUUUUGUAAUGUUAAUAACUAGUUUAUUAUUUUUUUAAAGUUUAGUGAGUGAGUUGAAAGUUAAGUAAUUAUUUUAUUGUUAAAAUUAAAAUUAGGUGACUAUUGGUAUAAUUUAUCCUAAUUAUAAAUUAAAUCGGAGACUUCUUGAAUAUAGGCAGAUGCUGAAUUUGGUGUGGCCCCUUUAGAUGUUUUGUCGUCUAGAAGAGUUGAAGAGUGCUAGAGUAAAAUCACGUAGUGCUAUGCUAGGGUAAAAUCAUGUGAGAAGCACAUAGGAAUUGUCUGCCCACAUAUAAGCAUGGUCUUUUUUGACAAAGCGAUCGAGUUUACAAGAUCUUCUUAAAGUGGUAAGUGUAACAAAUAUAUAUGUAAGAAAAUUUUUAUAAUAUAAUGUAUUCAUGGGUGAAAUCAGAAAAUUAUUUUAGGGAGUUAAAAUUAAAUUAUAAUUUUUAUAAUAGAAGAUAUAUAAUUUUAUUAUUUUAAAAAUUAUAUUUUUAUAAUUUUUAAAAAAUUAAAUUAAAUUUUUAUAUUUUUAAAAGGGUCAAAAUAUAAUUUUAACUUUAUUAAUUUAAAAUUUUAAAAAUUUUAAUUUUUUUUAUUAUUUUAGGAUGCCAGCCCCUGUCAGUACCCCUAAUUUUGCCACGGGAUGUUUUGGUAUAUCCGAUAUUUUAAAUACAAUUAUUUGUAAAAAAGAAAAAAAAAGUAACAUAAUAGAAGAAAAAGGGAUUACCAAGUCAUUGCAAUAUGCAAUUUUCAUUCUUCCUUUUCUGGUAUUUAAUUUUGUUUUCAGAACUUACAUACAUGAACAUGAACAGUAGUUUCUAGAUCCCAAUACAAAACAUUAGGAUUUUAGAAUAAAACGAAAAAGAAAAAUGAAGUACCUGACAGAGAAUUUGAUUACACUGUAAAAAGGAAAAAGAAAAGCUUGAUCUGUACCCCAUGUAUGCAUGUAUGUACCUUUAUCUCUCGGAAGUUGCUUGGUUUUCAAUUCAAGCAACAUGAAUGAAUCUUGAUUCUUGAAUACAAAUUAUUAUCUGUAUGAACAUAUUUUUGUGUAUUAUGUGCAGUCUUUAGUUUGGUUUUUGGAUCAAUUUCUAUGGCAGUCCUUCAAUAUUCUUCAGCUUCACACAAUCAUCUUCCUCUGCAAUUUCAAUCCCGUAAGAACAUUUACCUUCCUGGUUGGUUUUGCAGCUAUUGAAGAAGAAGCAACUCACAACAGUAUCAAGAACAACGAUUAUGGAAUAUAAAAAAGCAAUGAAAAUCGCUUCCAAAGCCAUUGAAAAGCAGUUGAAAUCACC